GACGAACGCUGGCGGCGUGCCUAAUACAUGCAAGUCGAGCGAACAGAUGAAGUGCUUGCACUUCUGACGUUAGCGGCGAAUGGGUGAGUAACACGUAAGGAAUCUACCUAUAAGCGGGGGAUAACAUUCGGAAACGGGUGCUAAUACCGCAUAAUAUCUUCUUCCGCAUGGAAGAAGAUUGAAAGACGGCUCUGCUGUCACUUAUAGAUGACCUUGCGGUGCAUUAGUUAGUUGGUGGGGUAACGGCCUACCAAGACGAUGAUGCAUAGCCGACCUGAGAGGGUGAUCGGCCACAUUGGGACUGAGACACGGCCCAAACUCCUACGGGAGGCAGCAGUAGGGAAUCUUCCGCAAUGGGCGAAAGCCUGACGGAGCAAUGCCGCGUGAGUGAAGAAGGCCUUCGGGUCGUAAAACUCUGUUAUAAGAGAAGAACAAAUUGUAGAGUAACUGCUACAGUCUUGACGGUAUCUUAUCAGAAAGCCACGGCUAACUACGUGCCAGCCGCCGCAGUAA
rnacentral:rRNA from 1 species